CCUGCACUUCCCCCUCCCAGCAUCCCCUCUCCCUUGGUUAGAAUCAACCUCAGAUUUUCAUUUUAGGAGAGACCCCUCCCUCCUGCCAAGUCUACCUGUUCUGGGAGGAAGCUCCACCCACCCACUGCACCACCAGCAAAGAUGCUGCCUGAACUAAAGGCCAAAGUCCCACAUCCUGUAGGCCAUAAUGAUUGGUUCUGAGAGGUGCCUGUAACUGAGCCAGGCCAAUCAAAGCAGAGCUCCCAGAAAGAGACUCACCCACUCUGUCCCAGUGACCUUGAACCUGGAAGUAGGAGAGCCUGGAGGCUGAGAGUCCGCAGAUGGCACAUAAAGUGUGAAGCCUCAUGACUUAUAUGUCAGAUUAAGCCUUUUGUUAAGAAGAUAUAAGCAUUGUCAUGAGAAACACCAGACUUUGGUUUAAGUUACUGCUCUGCAACUUUCGGACCUACGUGGCCUUACGAAUGCAUAAACUUCUUCCUGGAAGCUGGCGCUACACAGGUGUGGACUGUUCCAUAUAUGAGCAAGCUUGGACACAGAUAUUUUUGUGAAGGGCAGUAAGGCUGGGCACAAUGCCUCACGUCUGUAAUUCCAGCACUCUGGGAGGCUGAGGUGGAAGGAUCGCGUGAGGCCAGGAGUUCAAGACCAGCCUGGGCAAUACAGCAAAACACCAUCUUUACAAAAAAAAAAUCAUUAAAAAAAAAUAGCUGAAUGUGGUGAUGCACACCUGUAGUCCCAGCUACUCAUGAGGCUGAGGUGGGAGCCACUUGAGCCCAGGAGUUCGAGGCUGCAGUGAGCUGUGAUCAUGCCACACCACUGCACUCCAGCCUGGAAGAGAGUGAGACCUUGUCUCUAAAAGUAAAGUAAAAUAUAAAACUGGGACAAUGAAUGCUCACCACAAAGUCCCCAUCCCCCUUCUUGGGGGUCCAUUGUCCAUUACCUCACAUCAUGUCUCCAUCAGGACAGCCUGUCAGUCAGCUCUAGCACCUCUCAGCUCUAAACUGCAGUAGAGAGGGAGGACAGACCAGAACGAGGAGUCUCUGGAAUAAAUUCCCAUCUUUCCAAGGGGAUUCCUUGCCUCAGAGAGGUUCAGUGAAGCCAGAAAAGGCACUGUGAAAGGUGGUGUCUGAUUUGCAAGGCAGCUUGAAGCAAGGGUUGAGCCUCAUGAGGAGGGGCUGGGGCUUCUGAGGGGCUAUAGAAAGUCUUCAUUGCCAUGUCCUGCUUCCAAGGCAACCCUGAUUCGGUUUCCCAUUAGAAACACAUUGAAUCUGUGACUCGACCUGAUCCCAUCCUCUCCAAUGACAGGCUGUCUACCGCCAGAUGAUAAACAGGAAGUCACUGAGUAAGAGGAGCGUGUCGGUCCAUGCCGGAGGGGGUUACCUAACUUGGGAAGGCAGAGCUCCAGUAACCACAUCUCAUACUGAGAAUGAUGCCUACAGCAAUGAUGCCUCGCAGGCCUUCUGCAAAGGGUGGCAGAGGAGGACAGCAGUCUCAUAGCCUCAAUCUUUUUUGGGAAGCAGUAAACCAAACACGCUCUUCUAUAGAGACAAGUGCAGCAGUUCUUUUCACAAAUUCAUGCAGAGGAUGCACAUGUUGUGAACUGAGAAAUUGUAUCUCGAGUUCUUUCAUUUUCAGUUCAGUUUUACUUUACAAUAACUGCUGCUCUUGCUACUAUUAUUAUUUCUAAAUACAACACAGCUCUAACUUCAGCAGUGCUUACCUUACCCUCAGGGAGAUUAUGUGCUGGACACUGGCAAGGGAAUAUGUGUACUAGGAGUCAUAAUAUUUGCCAUGCUGAGUAUGCUGACCUCAUUCCGGGCAUGGUUUUGAGUACUUUCUUUUUGCAUCUCAACACCUUACUUAACCUUACAACAGCUUUGAGAGCUGGGUGUUGUUAUCCUCACUUCCAAAAGAAGAAAUCAAUAGCUCAGAAUCGAGUCCAGCAACUUGCCAAAGGUCGCAGGCUACCUGUUAUCUCUGCAUAGGACUAGACUGCAGGCAACAAUUAGCCCAAUGUCAGCCUUAGGACCAUCCUGGCAGAAUAGAGGUGAUCUUGAAUAUAAUGGGAAAAAAGAGAAAAAGAAAAAAUAACAAUGAUGAAGUUGAUCACCUCAGGUUCACAGGCUGUGCAGCAGCAGAGCUGGGCCUGGUAUCCACCUUCCAGAUCCCACUCCAGAGACCUUCCCUUAAUAUUUUGCUACCUUAAUCUCAGGGCAUACGGAUUCUUUUUCUUUGGCUUCACUAACAUGCUAUGUAUUUGGCAUGAUCUUCCCCUCAAUGUUUCCAUCUGAGACAUGGGAGGGAGAGACCUACUUUGUUAAAAGGAAAACAUGAUAGAAACAUUAAAAAGAGAUUUUCCCAUAGCACAGGGGGAAAAAACUAUAAAUAGAGUGAAAUGUUAAUGGUGAAAUCCUGGUGGUGGGUAUCUGAAUGUUCACCGUCUAAUUGUUUUGAUGUUUCUGUAUGGUUGAACAUUUUCAUAUAUAAUGUUGGGGGAGAAACAAUGUUUCCAAUAUCUCAGUGGUACAUUAAUAUUGAUAACACCCUCUUGUAGUAUCUGAGGGUGAUAAGAAGAAAGAUCAAUGCAACAGCAAGGGCUGCGGUCAAGCUCGAUGUGUUCCAUGAACCCCUCCAGGGGUGGCCAUGACUGGCUGCCAUGUGGCCACUGUGGUCACAUCACCUUGCCUGGUCGCCAAUCUUCAGGUGUCGCUGCCACUCAGCAGUGCUCCACUUCUGAGACUGUUUCUACUAUGAUUAAAGGCCUCUGGUCCUGAACUGUCACCAGCAGAGUGACAUGGUGCCAACACAUGGCCAAGCAUAUGACAAACAUCUACUGUUGACAAGACAACAUCCUAGAGGUGUCAGGCGGACGGAAGCAGCCCAUUCCAGAAGGAAAGCUCCUGCAUGCUGGGUCCUUUGCUCCUGAGACAUCUGUACGGUGGAGUCAGAGUGUCCCAGCACCUCGCUGUCUCUCAAGCUGCACACUCGUUUCAUUUCCUCUUAGACCUGCAGUGUGACUUAUCUUUUCAUCAGAGGGGCUUGGAGGGCUUCCCCUCAGUAGCAAAGCCAUACCAGCAAGAUGUCCUCCUGGGAGAUCCAUGAAAUAACUUGGCUCAGAAGCAAAUUAUCUCUGAGCAGCUCUAUUUUCAAUCCUUCCUCGAGAUAUCACUAUUACUAGAAAACUUACCUGGCUCUAAUUUAAUUGUGAAACAAGGCUUGUCCCUGUGCUAAUAUUAAAAUGGAAAUCUUCUAGUGAAAUGGCUCAUUUCUCUGGUGAAUUAUUGCCAGAAGGAGAUAGGGCCUGAAUGCAAUUUGCUUAAGUGUCUCACAAACCACUCUGAUUCCUGAAGACACUGGCCUUAUCUUGUGCUUGAUCGACCCUGCACAAGCUGCCUGUCUGCUGCUUGUUCUCUGGAGUUCUCUGAAAAGCCAGUGCUUGGUGGAAAAGCCACAGGAAAAUGUUCACUUUUAUAUCUGCCUCAUCAUUAUAGUUUCUUUCUUUUAUUUGGAGACAGAGUCUCACUCUGUCACCCAGGCUGGAGUGCAGUGGCGCGAUCUCAGCUCACUGCAACUUCCGCCUCCUGGAUUCAAGUGAUUCUUCCGCCUCAGCCUCCCGAGUAGCCGGGAUUAUGGGCACGUGCACCACAACCAGCUAAUUUUGUAUUUUUAUUAGAGACAGGGUUUCACCAUAUUGGUGAGGCUGGUCUCGAACUGCUGACCUCGUGAUCCGCCCACCUCAGCCUCCCAAAGUGCUAGGAUUACAGGCGUGAGCCACGGCACCCCACCAUCAUUAUAGUUUAUUACUAUUCCUCUGUAUUUCUAAUUAUCAUCUAAAAAGAUGCCCAGUACCCAAAGAAGUUUGCUUUUGCCCAGUUUUCUGGAAAAAUGUUCAGAGUGGCUUUUACCAAAAGCUCUCUUCCCCUUGCCUUUGCCCAAAGCCUGGAAUGGGGAAGAAGAGCUCAUGGGGUGGGAAGAAGAGCUGUGAGGGCAGAGGCAGCAAAGGUGCCCGCCUCCAGGAGCUUGCAGCUGGGCCUCCCCAGGAUGGCGGUGCUUCUAUCAGCUGUUUACAUGAAAACAGGUGAAAAGGGAGGUAAGCCAGUUUAGGAACGGCAUUCCAAACAGGAAACUACCUGAGUGCAGGUGCUGCAGAAAACAGAGGUUGAUAAAGGCUCACAGCCCCAGGGCUCAGACUCUUACCAGCCUUUAAGAAGCAGGUGAGCUGGGCACAGUGAUGCGUGUGCCUGUAGUUCCAGCUACUCAGGAGACUGAGAUGAGAGGACGGCUUACGUGCAGGAGUUUGAGACUGCUGUGAGCUAUGAUCUCCCCACUGCAUUUUAGCCUGGACAACAGAGGGAAACCCUAUCUCUAAAAAUAUAAAAAUCAAAAGAAGCAGUAGAAGGAGUAAACAGGAAAGACUCAAGCUCCCAAUGGAAAUACACACCAUAUCCAGGAGUUUGGAGGGUGUUUGGUUGGAUUUGGUUUUUAUGGACAUGAACACACUCUGGUUCUUGCAGGAGUCAAGCUGCUCUGAAAAGAGAUAUAAGUGAGACUUCUGAAUUUCCCUCCAGCACCCAGAAAAAGGUAGGAAACAUAACAGGCAUUCUUAAUUAAUUCCUGCAGGAGAACUAAGGUAAAAAGAUGCUUCCCAACAUCAUCCUGAGCCCUCCUUGGAGGUACAACUGGAGGCCGAGAUUUGUGUUUUGACAUUGAGCCUUUUGGGGAUUCAAAGGCACCUCCCUGGUCUCCCCCCAGACCAUAAAGAUAUGAGAAACCCAAGCACCUGUUCUUGGCUGACGCCAGCUGGGAAUUUACUGCCCAUUCUCCUGGGCCUGAUGCCCAGCAGGGCCAGUCUCAGCGGAGUCAACCGUCUGAGAGGAGGAUCGAUUAAGGAAACCGCUGUUCAGGCUUAGACUAUAGAUUUUUUGAAACAGCCCCAUCCACAGCUGUAGAUGGCUCCAGGCUGCUUACGGAGGCAGGAGAAAGUGAUGGUCCCAGCUCCUGGGCUCGCCUUAUGUGACUCUGUGCCUCCUUUCAGGAUUUCUCUUUAAAAACCUAUUUUUGCAAAUGGUUUUCAAAAAGACCCAAAUGAACUUUUUUCAAGUUGGGUCAUAGCCAUGAUACCAGAUGAGUCAUCAGAAGUCCAAACCUAGGGAUCGUUUUGUGGAAGAAUAUAAUUUUGGAACUAGGAAGGUCCUUAGAGAGGGUUCGGUGCAGCAGUCCAACAGAAAUCUAAUGCGAGCCAUGAAUUCCAGAUUUUCUAGCAGACAUAUUAAAAAGUAAAACCAAACAGGUGACAUUAAUUUCAAUAAUAUAUUCUACCUAACCUGAUAUAUCCAAAAUAUUAACAUUUCAACAUGUAAUAAUUAUAAAAACUAUUUUAUCAGCUUUAUCAAUACAUAGCUUAAGUAUCAUAAAAUUCUCUUUUUUUUUUUUUUUUUUUUGAGACAACGUCUUGCUCUGUUACCCAGGCUGGAGUGCAGUGGCAUGAUCUCAGCUCACUGCAACCUCUACUUCCUGGGUUCAAGUGAUUCUCAUGCCUCAGCCGCCUAAGUAGCUGGGACUACAAGCGUAUGCCACCAUGCCCGGCUAAUUUUUGUAUUUUUUGUAAAGAUGGGGUUUCACCAUGUUGCCCAGGCUGGUGUUAAACUCCUGGCCUCAAGUGAUCUGCCCACCUCGGCCUCCCAAAGUGCCGGAAUUACAAGCGUGAGCCACUGCACCCAGCCAGUACCAUAAAAAUUCACCCAUGUAACGUGUACAAUUAAAUGGUUUUUCAUAUAUUUACAGAGUUGUGUAACCAUCACCAUCAUCUAAUUUUAGAAUAUUUUCAUCACCCCAAAAAGACACUUUGCAUCCAUUAGCAGCCACUCCCUGUUACCCUCUUGACCAGCCCCAGGCAACCAUGAAACUGCUUUCUGUCUCUAUGGAGCUGCCUGUUCUGAACACAUCAUAUGAAUGGAAUUGUACAGUAUGUGGGCUUUGCUGAAUUGCUUAUGAAUUCAUCAUAAUGUUUUCAAGAUUCAUCCAUGUUGCAGCAUGCAUCAGUGCUCCAUUCCUUUUCAUUGCUACUGUGUAGAUAAAAAAUUACUAUUAUUAUUAUUAUUAUUAUUAUUAGAGACAGGGUCUCGUUCGAUCACGCAGGCUGGAGUGCAGUACCACCAUCAUAGGUCACUGCAGCCUGGAACUGCUGGGCUCAAGCAAUCCUCCAGCCUCAGCCUCCCAAGUAGGUAAGACUACAGGCACGUGCCACCAUACCCAGCUAAUUCUUAUUUUUAUUUUUUGUAGAGAUGGGGUCUCACUAUGUUGCCCAGGAUGUCUCAAACUUCUGGCCUCAAGUAAUCCUCCCUCCUUGGCCUCUUAAAGUGCUAGGAUUAUAGGCAUGAACCACUGCACUUGACCGAUAAAAAGUUACUGGGGUAUUUUUCAUUCUUUUUUGUACUAAGCCCUUAAAAGCCACUGUGCAUUUUAUACUCACAGCACAUCUCAUCUAGCAAGCGACAUUGCAAGUGCUCGGUUG
rnacentral:lncRNA from 10 species